rnacentral:rRNA from 1 species
GCGUAAGCGCACGCAGGCGGUCUGUCAAGUCGGAUGUGAAAUCCCUGGGCUCAACCUGGGAACUGCAUUCGAAACUGGCAGGCUAGAGUCUUGUAGAGGGGGGUAGAAUUCCAGGUGUAGCGGUGAAAUGCGUAGAGAUCUGGAGGAAUACCGGUGGCGAAGGCGGCCCCCUGGACAAAGACUGACGCUCAGGUGCGAAAGCGUGGGGAGCAAACAGGAUUAGAUACCCUGGUAGUCCACGCCGUAAACGAUGUCGACUUGGAGGUUGUGCCCUUGAGGCGUGGCUUCCGGAGCUAACGCGUUAAGUCGACCGCCUGGGGAGUACGGCCGCAAGGUUAAAACUCAAAUGAAUUGACGGGGGCCCGCACAAGCGGUGGAGCAUGUGGUUUAAUUCGAUGCAACGCGAAGAACCUUACCUACUCUUGACAUCCAGAGAACUUAGCAGAGAUGCUUUGGUGCCUUCGGGAACUCU